UUCGCAAUGCCCGAAAGGGUGACGAAGCGACGCCGCGUGUGGGAAGAAGGCCUUCGGGUUGUAAACCACUGUCGGGAGUUAAGAAAUGCAAGGAUAUGAAUAGUGUCUUUGCUUGACUAAGGCUCCGGAGGAAGCCACGGCUAACUCUGUGCCAGCAGCCGCGGUAAUACAGAGGCGGCAAGCGUUGUUCGGAAUUAUUGGGCGUAAAGAGCACGUAGGCGGCUAUGUAAGUCGGUUGUGAAAGCCUUCCGCUCAACGGGAGAACAGCAUCCGAUACUACAUGGCUUGAGUGCGGGAGGGGAGAGUGGAACUUCUGGUGGAGCGGUGAAAUGCGUAGAUAUCAGAAGGAACGCCGGCGGCGAAAGCGGCUCUCUGGCCCAUAACUGACGCUGAGUGUGCGAAAGCUAGGGGAGCAAACGGGAUUAGAUGCCCCGGUAGUCCUAGCCGUAAACGAUGGGCACUAAGUAGAGGGGUUUU
rnacentral:rRNA from 1 species